GUCAGGAUGGCCGAGUGGUCUAAGGCGCCAGACUCAAGCUACACUUCCCCGCGCUGGGGUUUCUGGUCUCCAAUGGAGGCGUGGGUUCGAAUCCCACUUCUGACA
rnacentral:tRNA from 1 species